rnacentral:rRNA from 1 species
CCUACGGGGGGCAGCAGUGGGGAAUAUUGCACAAUGGGGGAAACCCUGAUGCAGCGACGCCGCGUGAGUGAAGAAGUAUUUCGGUACGUAAAGCUCUAUCAGCAGGGAAGAAAAUGACGGUACCUGACUAAGAAGCCCCGGCUAACUACGUGCCAGCAGCCGCGGUAAUACGUAGGGGGCAAGCGUUAUCCGGAUUUACUGGGUGUAAAGGGAGCGUAGACAGCAGCGCAAGUCUGGAGUGAAAUCCCAUGGCUUAACCAUGGAACUGCUUUGGAAACUGUGCAGCUAGAGUGCAGGAGAGGUAAGCGGAAUUCCUAGUGUAGCGGUGAAAUGCGUAGAUAUUAGGAGGAACACCAGUGGCGAAGGCGGCUUACUGGACUGUAACUGACGUUGAGGCUCGAAAGCGUGGGGAGCAAACAGGAUUAGAUACCCGGGUAGUC